GGGUCCAAGAAUUUAAGUUCAAGUUCUUGGAGGUUAAACAAUAAGAUGGUCGGGCCGCCAUCA
rnacentral:ncRNA from 2 species